rnacentral:rRNA from 1 species
CCUGGAACUACGUGUUACAGCUUCCCUAUUCCAAGGAAUAGGAGAACAAAAGUACACGCCUAUACUUUAGGGUUACCCCUUAAAAAGAUACGGUGUCGUCGGUAAGCUCUGUCCGAGCGGCCGGCCUCCACGGAGACGAAGGCAACCCAUGUUGCCCGCGCUCGCGGCGCGCCCCCUUCCCCUGGGAGUUGCUGCCGGACCUUCCGACGCGGUACCGGCCUCCCUCCUCUCUGGCGCCCCGCGCGCGAAGUCGGUCGCGGCCGGUCUCCGGCGGUAGUACGGAAGACGUUCACUCCGGAACCAGCGUCCGCGAUGCAGUCUACGUCCACCCGCAACGACACCUCCUUGCCGGCCCCUGGAGCAAUAGGCGACUCUUCGCCGGCGCGGCAGUGCCGGUCAGCGCGAGUGCGUCAGACAUCGGCAUCGCGCCUGCCUCUCCCGGCUGCACGAAGAACGGCCGGCAUCCGGCGAGCACGGCAAGUUUUAGCUGUCGCAGCUAGGUAAUUCUCUGACGAGAUCUAAAGUCAUACCAUGUUGGAACUACUCGGCUACAUGACUCCAUAAAAAAGUAUUAUCAAAACUUACCAAGGCUUUUUCUCAUGAACUUGCCUACAGACAUACCAAAACAUGACUCGCACAAAAGUGCAUGAUCUGAAAUGAAAUAUAAAAAUUAUAUUAAAAGGAGCAUUGAAGAGUUACCAUAGUAGUUCGGGCUUGAACGUAUCAAAUAUGGUAAUUUGACUUACUAAAAAAUUAUUUUACUUUUACAAAACAAAAAAGAAAACUUGAGUUGUAACAAAACGAUGUUAUACGACCUGAAGAGAGUAAAAUGGUGAACUUGAAAAUGGUAAAACUUAAAGGUACCAAAAAAACAAACUCGAAAAAAAAGGUUUGAACUACAGCACAGGUUAAAAAAAAGACAUGAAUAUACGAUCAUAUUAUUAUAUUGUAAAGGUAAUGUUAAAAACAGGUAAGUACCUGUAGUUGGUUUUACCCGUCCUCUCUCGUGAUAGCUUGACUAGUAACAAAAGCUGGCUUGAUAACACAAGAAAAGAUUCUUGACUUGUACAUUAUGUAUAACUUCCCGGUGUGUACAUACUAUAUUACUUGACAUCCCAGAAUUUUCACGUUGCUGUCAUGUAGAUAUUUCGAGGUAUUCUAGCGUACUUCGGAGACGGUUUACUUUAUAUGUUUUAUGACUUUUUUGAAGUGUGAAAACGUGCUUCCCGUAUGAAGGACUGUACGAGCUGCUCUGGGUAACUUUAACGCGUUAAGUGCACACCCUCGUUCGUUGUUGAAACUUCAUACGUUAAACCUUUCGAGUAUUUCAUUUUGUACCGUAGAACAAAAAAAGGUCUUUUUGUUGUCCUCGUGUAGGCGUAUCAAUAAGUAGAGGUGUAGUUAUUAUUAACCGGUGGUUUUUGGACUGUUUACAAAAAAAAAAGACUUUUGUGUGUUGUGUAAAAAGCUUACGUAGUCAUGUUCGACUGUAAAAGUCAAAAGUCUUCGUUAGUUUGAACGAUUAAUCAUCUCAUGAGCACAUGAAUGACCCUGGUGUGUAUAGGAUUAUAAUCAUAAGUACAUGAAUGAUGCCGGAUGUGAGUCGAGGAACUCGCUGGCCGGUGUUUUGUUCUUCAACAUGACAACUCGUCCUCCAGGAGCUGGGGCACUGAGGAGGUCGUCCAAGGUGAUAAAAGGCGACUUCGUAUUCGGUACGGCAACCUCACCCUGCGCAGGUGUGCCGCUGUUGAAAUCUUUGACCAAGAUAUCUUUUCUAAAAAGUAAUUUACCGGUGUUGAAAGUCACCGAUUAACUUUCGUUUCAGUAUAAUACUCACCGAUUACCCAAUUCUUUCGAAAACUUCUUUUUACUUUCGUCUCCGAUCGAUCGUGGAAGCGCGUGGGGUGCUGCACUGGGAACCUCAAGUUGGACCUUUACCCCGGCUUUUCCGAGCGCGGCGUGAAGCGCUGGUAGCUCGCGGUAUGGGCCGCCGUAACGGAACACCAACCGGGCCGCGGGCCGAGCGGCUGUCUGAAGUCAAGUCCAACCUAAGUAGUUUUUGUAUUUACUUCGUACACAAGAAAAAGAUAAGAACGUUUACUUCGAGGUGAAUACAAGACAAACUAUUAAGACAUAAGAUAAGACAAAACUUGAUUUCACACGCCUACUUAACUUGAAGAGGCUAUGUAUAAAGUGACUUGGAUCAGGAGGUCUUACAAAUAAGAAAAAUCAAUACAACCGUACUCCGAUACUUUAUGUAGUGUCGUUAACAAAAAACCCACUCAAAGUUUUUUGUAUUAUGAUACACUUGUUAUGUUGGACUGGAUUGAUCUAUACGUUGUACGUCAUGUGUACAUGCCACAGAGUUGAAAAGUGUUUUUUGACGUCGACAUGAUAGUAGAUAACUUUUACUUAGUGUCUUUAUUACCUCUUCUGAAUCAAUUUUACACUUGUGGAACAGGUCAAAACUAGUUUAACUCUAGUGUUUCUUGUGAGCGACGAAAGAGAUGUCUCAGGUCCAAUAUCGUUUUUACUAGUUCUGUAUUCUUGUCACUAGUGAACAUGACGGACCUUUUAUUGUUCGUUUGAAUAUCGUAAACUAGUAAGCUUGAACAGUGUUAUCUUUAUCUCUUAAUACAUGUGCCUAUGUUGAACGUAGUAGUUUGAAAUCUCAAGAAAAUUGAGGUCUUACGAAGGUGUCCUGUAAGUUUUGGGUUUUCGUUUUAUUUUUUUAAUCACAUUACAAACAUUUUGAAUCAAUUUCAUCUUAAUGAAAACAAAAUAUUGUGAUGUAUGAACUCACGAACACGGGCAAAUUUAGACUUAUUUUUCUUAUAGUAAUAGAAUCCUGAAAUAGGCCAAAAGUAGUGAUCAUGUGUCAAAGGCAUGCACAACAAGAGGGUAUCCGUAAUUGUGUUCGUGGUACGCACGAUCCUUCUUGUCCCGUGAACUUAGUCUUAACUGUGGCUUCUUUGAGCGACGUUUAGUGAUGAAUAAGUCUUUUCGUGUGAGGAUCCGUGCGUCCGCUUCGGCAAAGUUCGAUGUUGGUUGUAGUCGUCCUUAAGUUCGCUUUCCGUGACUCCAUUAUCCUUUACUUGUAUACUGCUUCUUAACUUGUAUUUUCUUUUAUAAAAACCUCUUCCUUCUUCUACAGUCCUCCUAGACCACUUGGACGAUGCGUAUGAGGACGCCUGAAUGCCAAGGCCACUUCACCUCGACUACCUUCUCCCCUAGUGCUCGUCGCCGCCCUACCAGCCGUGACCUCGAGCACCACUUCACCUGAGCACCACGCCGCCGUUACAACCGCCGACCGUCACCCGCUGCCUCCACUUCCUAAGACCUGACUUCUUUAUUAGGUUUCCUCGUUUUGUUCUUCGCGUUUGAUCACGUGUUAAGUUUGAUGGUAGUUUGGAAAAAUGACUUGCCUACUCUGCUCUACGACGUCCUCGUUUUGGAGAGAGGGACGGAAUUGUUUUUCAUUACCCCCGAUUUGAAACACAAAGAGAGCUUGUUUUUGACUGUAAGAGUUGAGUACUUUAUUUGAUGUCCUCGUUUUCGACUUCACACUGGAUCAGACUUUAAACUUGAACAGCCCUCCGAAAACGACAUGACUUCACACUGGAUCAUAAGUAAGAUGAUAAGAAAAAAGGAGGACCGACUUCGAUCAGUCACGUCUAGUGGGACUGUCUUUAGAAGAAGUGUAAAAGAGGUAGGUAGCGUAGGACGGAUUUUGGUUUUUUUCACCCCUAUCUUUGAUCACCUUCCCUCCUGGUAACACGACGAUAAAACUAGUCCGCAUGUGUGUUUUGUUAUUUUACCUACUUUACUUUGUGUAACAUGACAAGUGCAACGAAGAGGGAAGGACGGGUCGGUUUAGUUUAGCUUGGUGUCCGUGACGUAGCUUCUUGGACGAUUACGGGUAGUAGUUAAAAACUAUACAGUACUAGUUUUACCCAAACUAGGGUACCAACUCUGUCUUUAUGACGUAGCUAAACACUAGACUACCAGAGAGUUCUAGAGGCUUCUAGACUUGACUAACAUAAUGUUCGUGGCGUGUUUAAGGUUGCUCGGCUACAUUCAUGAUAAUUUUUCCAUUAGUUCAAGUACAAUAUAAUUAACCCUCUUCAAGUUUUUUUUAUUUGAAAAUUUUUCCAACAGGAUAAAAACGAUAUUGUUGAGAUCAGUAGAAAAACGGUUGGUACAUAUAAUGUGCCAUGUUUAUUCUAUAAACUUGACUUGAUUUUAUUAUUUAACAUGAUUUGUGGAUUUCUUGCACAAGAAAAGUGUAGAAGGGUUGAUGAGUUAAUCGUCUUGUGUACAUGCGUAAAAUUAUUGUCUUCGUCU